rnacentral:lncRNA from 1 species
UUGCAGGAAGUGAGAGGUUCAGUUUCAGGUCAAGGCCCCUAGAGCUCUUCCUGUUGCUGCGGCUCAUCCUUUGGAGGUAUGUGCUGUCUGCAUCCAUCAAACGUUGGAUCAGCUGAUUGAGAUACACACUUCAGGAUGGAUGCUAUACUGUCACGAGGAUUAGAUGCCUAGAUACAGAUAGUGAGGGGACUUACUGUUUUGCAGAGUGACGAGGCGCUGGAUGCAAGCAGGUGGAGAUGAGAGCGAUGUGAAAUGCUCUGGAAGGAGAGGGCUAUGAGCUUUAGAAUGCUCAGAGGUGUUUCUCUGGUGUUGCUGGAGAAGGGAUAGAUGGUAUUUAUAGGGGGUGAGGAUGGGAGGUCAAUUGGUUUUCUUUAAUGUGACAUAAGAGCUACGCUCCCAUUUAAUUAUUACUCACUACUAUCUCAUAGUAGUAGCAAUAGUACAAUUGUACGCAUUUUAUUGCCUAUCAUAUUCAUGGUUGGGGAGUGGCGAAGGAAUAGGAUUGAAUAUGUGUUGGGUGGAAGAGAAGUGCUAGGUGAGAGGUUUUGUGGUGGCCUGUUGGGUCAUAUGCAAAAGAUCAACAAAUCUGAACGAGGAAAAACAGGACCUGGGACACAUGCCUACAGUUGAGCAUUUGCUUCUUCGCUCGUUGCUUUUUACACAACAUUAACAGGUACUGGGAAACUUUUACCUGGUGCUUAACAAGUUAAUUCGUAUUUUUUUAUUGUUAAUCAGUAUUUUUAGCCUGCUAGCAAUGCAAAGUAUUUGCUCCACAGCAUUUUCUGGAUUCAGGCUUCUUUCUUAUUGCAUUUGGGCGAGAGGUUAAACUUGCUAUCUAUAUUUAAAAAAUGUUCCAAAUUUUUUAAAAUGACUGACAUCCCACAGAUUUUAGGAACAAUAUCUUAUGUGCCACAGGAAAGUUGGUUGGGCCAAUUAGAUAAUUAUGACAAUGAUUAUUUGUUGUGUAGUUGAGUGUUGGAACCACUAAUUUUGUUUGCUUUUGAUUAUUUGUAAAGCUUGUACAGUUGAAAUUUGACUGGCUUCCAAUUUAUUUCACAACUUGAUGUGGCCAUGAAUGGAAUUUAUUGGGCACAGUAUUGCUGAAAGAGCACUAAAUGGGCUUGAAUGUUGAGCCAAUUUUCUUGUUUAUUUGAAUAAAUGAGGCUCUUCAAUAUGGAUGGAGUAUGCUGGGUAGCUUAUGAAAUUAGGUAUUUAGGUCUUUGAAUGGCGCAAGGCAAGGCCUGUGCACCCAUGCAUUGCCCGGUGCGCAUCUUGAUACAAUGGCUAAGAGAUAAGCAAACUCAUUAAUGUCGCUUUGUUUGAUGCACAUAGGAGCAGCCUCCUCUAAUGCCAUCUCCCACCCUAUGAAUUG